rnacentral:rRNA from 1 species
UACGUAGGGGGCAAGCGUUGUCCGGAUUUACUGGGCGUAAAGGGUGCGUAGGCGGACAUUUAAGUCAGCUGUGAAAUACCCGAGCUUAACUUGGGUGCUGCAUUUGAAACUGGGUGUCUAGAGUGCAGGAGAGGUAAGUGGAAUUCCUAGUGUAGCGGUGAAAUGCGUAGAGAUUAGGAAGAACACCAGUGGCGAAGGCGACUUACUGGACUGUAACUGACGCUGAGGCAUGAAAGCGUGGGGAGCAAACAGG